GGUGAACGCUGGCGGCGUGCUUAAGACAUGCAAGUCGAACGCAGUCUUCGGACUGAGUGGCGCACGGGUGAGUAACACGUAACUGACCUACCCCCAAGUCGCGAAUAACCAGCCGAAAGGAUGGCUAAUACGUGAUGUGAUGAUCCGCUGUGGCGGAUCAUUAAAGACUUGAUCGCUUGGGGAUGGGGUUGCGUUCCAUCAGCUAGUUGGUAAGGUAAAGGCUUACCAAGGCAACGAGGGAUAGCCGGCCUGAGAGGGUGGCCGGCCACAGGGGCACUGAGACACGGGUCCAACUCCUACGGGAGGCAGCAGUUAGGAAUCUUCCACAAUGGGCGCAAGCCUGAUGGAGCGACGCCGCGUGAGGGAUGAAGGUUCUCGGAUCGUAAACCUCUGAACCAACGACGAAAGACCCGACAAGGGAGAUGACGGUAGUUGGGUAAUAGCACCGGCUAACUCCGUGCCAGCAGCCGCCGUAAUAC
rnacentral:rRNA from 1 species